AGUGAACGCUGGCGGUAGGCCUAACACAUGCAAGUCGAACGGCAGCACAGUAAGAGCUUGCUCUUACGGGUGGCGAGUGGCGGACGUGUGAGGAAUACAUCUGACUCUACUUUUUCGUGGGGGAUAACGUAGUGAAACUUACGCUAAUACCGCAUACUACCUACGGGUGAAAGCAGGGGAUCUUCGGACCUUGCGCGAUUGAAUGAGCCGAUGUCGGAUUAGCUAGUUGGCGGGGUAAAGGCCCACUAAGGCGACGAUCCGUAGCUGGUCUGAGAGGAUGAUCGGCCACAGUGGAACUGAGACACGGUCCAGACUCCUACGGGAGGCAGCAGUGGGGAAGAUUGGACAAUGGGCGCAAGCCUGAGCCAGCCAUACCGCGUGGGUGAAGAAGGCCGUCGGGUGGUAAAGUCCGUUUGUGGGGAAAGAAAAGCAGCAGGUUAAUACCACGCUGUUGUGACGGUACCCAAAGAAUAAGCACCGGCUAACAUCGU
rnacentral:rRNA from 1 species